rnacentral:snRNA from 1 species
AUUUCUGCCCGGCGCUCCAAGCGGGGGCUGACCAUUGCACUUUCGGUUGGCUGAAACUUGCCACUUCCCCAAACUGGGGCAGAUGGAGCAUGCAAUUUUUGGUAAAGGGGCUAGGCGUUCGCACCGGCCCCUU